rnacentral:lncRNA from 1 species
UAGAAGAAAAGAUAGGACAAAAAUUUUAGAGCCUACAAUUAGGUGGAAAGUUUGUAGAAAUGGUGCUGAUAGGGCUGGGGCUAUGGCUCAGCAUUAGUGCACUUGCCUGGUAUGUGUGAGACUGGAUUUGAUUCUCAGCACCACAUAUAAAUAAAUAAAUAAAAUAAAGGUCUAUCAACAAUUAAAAAAAAAUAAAAGAAAUGGCGCCAAAAUGUGGUUCACAAAACAAAGAAAGAGAAACUCAGAAUUCCUAAAAUUAAAAUGAAAUGAAAGACAAGUCACAGACUGGGAGACACAUUUUUUAACUAUCAAAACUUUUUCUUGCAUUCAAAACAUAGGAAGAUUACUAAAAAAAAAAAAAAAAAAAACCCUCAACAAUGAGAAAACAAACACCUGAUUUAAAAAUUGACAAAAUUGUGAAUUGAACAGAUAAUUUACAAAGAAGAUAUAUACAUGAUUACUACGCAAAACCAUGGUGAGGUCCUUCUACACGUUAAUCACAGUGAUGAAAAAAAAAAUCUGGCAAUAGCAAGUGCUGGAGAUACUGCAAAGAAAGGGGCAUAUUCUUGCAUUACUGCCAGGAAAGCAAGACUGUUUAGGCACUCUGAAAAGUAGUUUGGCAAUUUUUAUAUAGUUAAACAUGUACUUACCAUGUGAUCUAGCACUACAAAUAUAAAGCCACACAAAAACACAGAUAUAAAGCCUUAUAGUGGCACUGAUGGUGAUACAAGGAGUUAGAAACUAACUUCAGCAAGUAGUGUGAUAAACUGGUCAUCCAUAUAGUGGAAUGUCAUUAACAAUGAAAGGGAACAACCUGUGGCUAUAUGAAGAGCUUAAAUGAAUUCCAAAGACAUUAUGCUGAUUGGGAGAAGCUAGUCUCAAGUACUUGGUAUAUAAUCCCAUCAUACAACAUUCUCAUUUAGAAAAACAGAUCACUAACAGAUUAGGGUUCUGAUGGGGUGAUAAAGUAACAAUGAAGGAGCAGCAUAAGGAAGUUUUAUAGGGUGACAGUACUAUUAUAUGUGCUACCUACAGCUAUACAUAUGUGCACUUGUUAGAACUCUUUUAAGUCUAUGCCCCAAACCAAUCAGCUCUAUUGUAUGAUCCCUAAGGAAAGAAAGGAACAAGGGAAGAGUAGCCUGAGGGGUCAGGGUAG